AAGUCGAACGAGUUCUCGUUGAUGAUCGGUGCUUGCACCGAGAUUCAACAUGGAACGAGUGGCGGACGGGUGAGUAACACGUGGGUAACCUGCCCUUAAGUGGGGGAUAACAUUUGGAAACAGAUGCUAAUACCGCAUAGAUCCAAGAACCGCAUGGUUCUUGGCUGAAAGAUGGCGUAAGCUAUCGCUUUUGGAUGGACCCGCGGCGUAUUAGCUAGUUGGUGAGGUAAUGGCUCACCAAGGCGAUGAUACGUAGCCGAACUGAGAGGUUGAUCGGCCACAUUGGGACUGAGACACGGCCCAAACUCCUACGGGAGGCAGCAGUAGGGAAUCUUCCACAAUGGACGCAAGUCUGAUGGAGCAACGCCGCGUGAGUGAAGAAGGCUUUCGGGUCGUAAAACUCUGUUGUUGGAGAAGAAUGGUCGGCAGAGUAACUGUUGUCGGCGUGACGGUAUCCAACCAGAAAGCCACGGCUAACUACGUGCCAGCAGCCGCGGUAAUACGUAGGUGGCAAGCGUUAUCCGGAUUUAUUGGGCGUAAAGCGAGCGCAGGCGGUUUUUUAAGUCUGAUGUGAAAGCCCUCGGCUUAACCGAGGAAGCGCAUCGGAAACUGGGAAACUUGAGUGCAGAAGAGGACAGUGGAACUCCAUGUGUAGCGGUGAAAUGCGUAGAUAUAUGGAAGAACACCAGUGGCGAAGGCGGCUGUCUGGUCUGUAACUGACGCUGAGGCUCGAAAG
rnacentral:rRNA from 2 species